CAAAUGUACUGCUGCUUUCAAAAUGGCGGGGCACAUUUGUCAAUCAUUGAACACUUUUGGAUGUCAUCUCUUAUUUAUUACAACUAGCCAGCCAUACCAAUAAAAUGCAGUCCGGACCUUCUUUGUCGAUUGUUACUUUACCUACAACAGUAUUAUAAGAAUGUUUAAAGUCAAACCCCCAAAUGAAUAUGCACUGUAUAAUCUAAUUGUGAAGGUCAUUAUGUAUACUAACAUUACUUGCUGGACAGACGCCAUUAGUGUUACCGCAACCUCUCAAAGGACCACUCGUUGUCACAACAGUUGAAUAUUUUCACUUCACAACAUUACAUGGUUAACCAACUCAAAAAUAUUAGGAUACUUACCUUCUGUCACAAGCGUUGCGGUUGUCGUUUCCAAAAACGUUCCCGCUUCUUCUUCUCUUUCUUCUUCUUCCUCGUUUUCGUUCGAGGUCGGCGCACACAACGUUAAAAUGUUACGCCACCUACUGUUUUCCCGCUUCUUCUUCUUCUGACGUUGAUGGCAAACAAGGCGUCAUGUCCGCCGCUGUCUGAUAGAAGGCGUGAAUUUUCUGAAUUGCCUUCCUUUGAAAGUUACACAUAGCCAAAAAUGGCUAUUUUCAGAUGGACAUACAAGGAGAAAAUCAACUUUAUCUCCAUUUUGAGAUGUGGAUCUGUCUCAUCAACAUUCUCGCGAGAUUUGGCACGGCGCCCCAUGAAUCUGUCCAAUCAUAUUUGCGCUUCCUGGAAAACACGCAUGCGCAUUUAGUGGGCGAAUGUGACUUGUAUCGAUUGGAGGAAACAAUUCAGCAUCGAAGGAAUAACGACUGAAAUAUUGGAGUGUCAAAAUGACAAAACGAAAACCUGCAAAACGAUGGAGAAGAACCGGUAAAGAAGUCGACUCAAAUAAACGAUCAAGAAGGACUGUACAAUUGCCACCAAUGUGAAUGUGGAGACUGAUGAGCAAUGUCUAAAAGGUAGCAGCAGGGGAACAGAAGGAGCCCAAAACACUGCUCUUCAUAUGGAACACAUGCAACCUCCAGGUGUCCAUGCAGGAUGUACCACUCUGGAACACCAAGCCUCUCCCUACCAGCCAGCACAUGAAAAUAUUUCUACUUUUGACUCUAUCAAAGACAAUGGAAAACCAUUUUCCAGAUCAGCCCUCAUAGAUCCUCCUGAUGGCCUAACAACUGAACUACAUGUCGAUGCUGAGUAUGAUCCAUCUCAAUCAUUUGAGGAAUCUCUCCCUGAUAUGGGGGAUUGGAUGUACAAUGACGGACAUAUGUUUAAUGAAGGAUUUGAAGAUAGUUUGAGUGAGGAGUGUGCAGAAGAGUCAAAUAUCAAGGACACAACAGACAAACCAUUAUAUGACAAUGUGGCAGAGUGCCUUCUGAUCAUCAUGGCUUAUGAAAACUGUCAUAAAGUCACUGAUAAGGCCCUAUAAGCCAUUUGCUGAAAAUGUUCAAGUUGCUUUGUCCCGAUAGUCUGAAUGCAGACUGCUUAAACAGUGUGCAGAAGUUCAAAAACUUUCUUUUAUCCCGCUCUGCAUCAUCGCCUAUUUUAUUACAUAAAUACUGCAGUAAUUGUUUUGGGCCAUUAGAAAGUAAACAAAUAAAAUGUCUGUCUUGUGGGACCAGUGUGUCAGAAGAAAGAUCCUCAUCCUUUAUAGAGGUUCCAAUUAAGGCUCACAUAAGGUCAUUGUUCCUCAAGCCAGGUUUUCAGGAGAAGCUUAACUUCAGAUUAAGCAGAAAGAAGGCAGAUGCUAACAACAUUGAAGAUAUAUAUGAUGCAGAAGUUUACAAACAGCUUGUCGAUAGGGGUGGUCCUCUUAGUGACCCUAAAAACAUCUCACUUGGAACAAAAAUGGAUAUUUGUUAAGGCUCAUACAUGGUACUCAAAAUAUACCUAUGCAGAUGGUAAAUGUAGUCAAACUUGUGCAGUCUAUUCCUGUUAUUUCACAAACUAUUAAACCAGGGAAUGUCAUAGCUGAAUUUUACAGACAUAUGACUAAAGAUGAUAGUUUCUGUCAGGAAAACAAAUAUUUGUCUAGGAUUAAACUAUAUGGAGCACCUAGUGAACUUCUAUUGGACACAGUUCACCUCUCUGCAUUGCUAAUACAUGCGGGUCACUGCAUCAAUUCUGGAACAGUAAGCAUCUUUCACAGGGCACAAGUUAAGAGAAAUGAUCUCACAUCAAAACACUAUGGUAAAGGUAAUAGAAGAAACAAUUUUACAGGUUUUUUUCAAAUGACGGACAAACAAAGUAUGGACAGAUUGAUUUCUUCUUUAUCAUAGCACAAUCAUGUGCCAAAUGGGCCCUCCUUCGUGAAUUCAAACAUGCAGGGUUUUCUUUGCUGCAAGAUAGUGUAACAAAUGGUACAUGAAGUCAUGUUAUUCCCCUAUUGGAAACCUCUGCCAGUACAGUAGUAUGAUUGGAUGACAUAUUGGGUAAAGUUGUUUUCCUUGACUUCACAUCUGUGCCUGGCAUUGUGUUUGCAGUUCAUUUCCCAAACACACUUGAAAAGUUUUAACUAAUUAAGAACUCAACUGGCCUAAGAAGUCACAAAUCAAAUAUUUGAUCAUUGUUAUAAAUGCUCUGAAAAUACACACCGAUGAGAUGUUGCCGUGGAUGCUGUAAAAGUCUGUAAAUAUGUACUGU